CGCUAAUAGAUGAGCCUAAGUCGGAUUAGCUAGUUGGUGGGGUAAAGGCCUACCAAGGCGACGAUCUGUAGCGGGUCUGAGAGGAUGAUCCGCCACACUGGGACUGAGACACGGCCCAGACUCCUACGGGAGGCAGCAGUGGGGAAUAUUGGACAAUGGGGGGAACCCUGAUCCAGCCAUGCCGCGUGUGUGAAGAAGGCCUUAUGGUUGUAAAGCACUUUAAGCGAGGAGGAGGGUACUGGUAUUAAUACUACCAGCUACUGGACGUUACUCGCAGAAUAAGCACCGGCUAACUCUGUGCCAGCAGCCGCGGUAAUACAGAGGGUGCGAGCGUUAAUCGGAUUUACUGGGCGUAAAGCGUGCGUAGGCGGCUAAUUGAGUCGGAUGUGAAAUCCCCGAGCUUAACUUGGGAAUUGCAUUCGAUACUGGUUAGCUAGAGUGUGGGAGAGGAUGGUAGAAUUCCAGGUGUAGCGGUGAAAUGCGUAGAGAUCUGGAGGAAUACCGAUGGCGAAGGCAGCCAUCUGGCCUAACACUGACGCUGAGGUACGAAAGCAUGGGGAGCAAACAGGAUUAGAUACCCUGGUAGUCCAUGCCGUAAACGAUGUCUACUAGCCGUUGGUCUCUUUGAGGGAUUAGUGGCGCAGCU
rnacentral:rRNA from 1 species